ACUUCCUCAACAAUUAAAACUAGCUCUCAUAACACCAAAAUACAAAAAAGGGGAUUGCGACUUGUUUGAAAAUCAUAGGCCCAUAAAUGUUUUGCCAUCGUUUUGUAAACUUUUUGAAAUGGCGAUGUGUGAUAGAUUAAUUAACUUUAUGAAACAUUGAAAUCUCUUAAAUCCAACUCAACACGGAUAUAUUAAAGGAAGAUUAAUUGACACAUCAAUCAUACAGUUUACUGAAAACAUUAUCGAGUCAUUUGAAAAUAACGAAAUACUCCGUGGAAUAUUCUUAGACCUUUCUAAAGCAUAUGACUACCUUAAUCACACGUAAUUAUUGGAAAAACUUGGAAAAUAUUGAAGUAGAGGGACUGUAUUGAAAUGGUUCGAGUAAUAUUUAUCAAAUCGUCAACAAAGAACGAAAAUUAUAAAAAAUGAACAGAUAUUUAAGUCUGAUAUCAAGGAAAAUACUAUAGGCAUUCCACAGGGAAGUCUAACAGGUCCUAUUCUAUUUUGGUUUGAUGAUAAUGAAUAAUUCAGUUGAUGAUGAUGAAUAAUACAGUUAGUUUGCAUUUAUUUUUUGCUCUGCUCUAGUUUACGAAAGGAUCAGAAACAGACCACUUCUCUAGUUAAUUCCCUGUCACUAUACAUGUAUUGGAUUAUUGUAGGCAUCUUAAUUACACCGCAACAACAGAUACCUCACCAGUCAGGGGCAUCCAUAAAAAUAAAAAACUCGAUUGAAUAUAACAUUUCAACACAACUCGUAACUGCAACAUUCACCUUGAGAUUGUAUUCUCUUGGUUAGAUUGCGAAACUAAAGUGCUUGCUACAGUUUCAGUGUAAGCGAUACAUUUUUUUUUCAAUAUGCAGCUGGUCUAUCAAGAUACGUAUCUAGCUAGGUAUCAUUGUAGAGUGGUUGUUUUACAGCCGUUGUUCACCUGUUUACUUACAUAUGUUUUCUCGCCCAAUUUGACGGUUAUGUUGUUCCAUGGAGAAAUUAAUUCCCUUCCGGUCCGUGUACGACAAGAGAAUGUGACUGGUAUUGAUUUUAACUUCAUCAAAUGAACCAUAGUGCAUGUGUCAUUCGAAUAUUUCCCUCAAAUUACAUCCCAUCAUGAAAUUUUUCUCUAUAUUGUGCUCAAUUUCAAUAAAAAGACUUUCGUAAUUGAUUCUUUAGUGA